AAAGUUCAUCUAUCCAUCAUUUCUGGAACUUCAGGACUCUCUGUAAUACUUUCUAAACUUGGUUUCCAUCCUGAACAAUUUUUUUCCUCUGUUUUUUUCAAUUUCCCCCAAAAAUUCUUCUAAAUUUUUACCUUCUCUGAAUUUCAAUUGAAGAAGUAGCCAUUCCAAUUCCUCUUUCGUCAACACUACUUUCAAUCUCAUAUUUGUUUUUCCCUCUUCCUUAUGAAAUUUGACUGUUUUUUCAUCUUCGCCAAUCUGUGAUUCCUCUGUAAUUUCUCUUUGUAAGCAAGUUUCUACGCAAUUUCCCAUGAUUUUUUUUGUUGAAUGUGAGGGGAAAAUAAGAGGGAUUUGAGAAGAAGAAGAAGGAAAAUUGAAAAUUUUUAGAGAGAGAAAGUAG
rnacentral:misc_RNA from 1 species